rnacentral:rRNA from 1 species
GGGAAGCUUGUCUGAUCCCUUCGGGGUGACGCGAGUGGAACGAGCGGCGGACGGGUGAGUAACACGUGGGCAACCUACCUGUAAGACUGGGAUAACUCCGGGAAACCGGGGCUAAUACCGGAUAAUACUUUGCUUCGCAUGAAGGAAAGUUGAAAGAUGGCUUCUAGCUAUCACUUACAGAUGGGCCCGCGGCGCAUUAGCUAGUUGGUGAGGUAAGAGCUCACCAAGGCAACGAUGCGUAGCCGACCUGAGAGGGUGAUCGGCCACACUGGGACUGAGACACGGCCCAGACUCCUACGGGAGGCAGCAGUAGGGAAUCUUCCGCAAUGGACGAAAGUCUGACGGAGCAACGCCGCGUGAACGAAGAAGGUUUUCGGAUCGUAAAGUUCUGUUGUUAGGGAAGAACAAGUACCGUUCAAACAGGGCGGUACCUUGACGGUACCUAUCGAGGAAGCCCCGGCUAACUACGUGCCAGCAGCCGCGGUAAUACGUAGGGGGCAAGCGUUGUCCGGAAUUAUUGGGCGUAAAGCGCGCGUAGGCGGUUUCUUAAGUCUGAUGUGAAAUCUUGCGGCUCAACCGCAAGCGGUCAUUGGAAACUGGGGAACUUGAGUACAGAAGAGGAGAGCGGAAUUCCACGUGUAGCGGUGAAAUGCGUAGAUAUGUGGAGGAACACCAGUGGCGAAGGCGGCUCUCUGGUCUGUAACUGACGCUGAGGUGCGAAAGCGUGGGGAGCGAACAGGAUUAGAUACCCUGGUAGUCCACGCCGUAAACGAUGAGUGCUAGGUGUUA